UUUAUUCUGGGUCCAGGACGAACCGUGGGGGGCGUGCCUUAACCCCUGCAAAUUGGAGCGGAGUUAUUAUGUUGAAAAUCCUUCGGGGUUGAAAGCUAUAUAACUUAGCGGCGGACGGGUGAGUAACGCGUGAGCAACUUGUCCCUCACUGGGGAAUAACACAUUGAAAGAUGUGCUAAUACCGCAUAAGACCACAAUGUCGCAUGACAAAGAGGUCAAAGGAAUUUAUUUCGGUGAGGGGUGGGCUCGCGUCCCAUUAGCUAGUUGGUGAGAUAACAGCUUACCAAGGCAACGAUGGGUAGCCGACCUGAGAGGGUGAUCGGCCACACUGGGACUGAGACACGGCCCAGACUCUUACGGGAGGCAGCAGUGGGGAAUAUUGGGCAAUGGGGGAAACCCUGACCCAGCAACGCCGCGUGAAGGAAGAAGGUUUUCGGAUCGUAAACUUCUGUCCUCAGUGAAGAGCAGAAGACGGUAACUGAGGAGGAAGCCCCGGCUAACUACGUGCCAGCAGCCGCGGUAAUACGUAGGGGGCAAGCGUUGUCCGGAAUGAUUGGGCGUAAAGGGCGCGUAGGCGGCCUAUUAAGUUUGGAGUGAAAGUCCCGCUUUCAAGGUGGGAAUUGCUUUGAAAACUGAUGGGCUAGAGUGCAGGAGAGGUUAGUGGAAUUCCCGGUGUAGCGGUGAAAUGCGUAGAGAUCGGGAGGAACACCAGUGGCGAAGGCGACUAACUGGACUGUAACUGACGCUGAGGCGCGAAAGUGUGGGGAGCAAACAGGAUUAGAUACCCUGGUAGUCCACACUGUAAACGAUGAAUGCUAGGUGUAGGAGGUAUCGACCCCUUCUGUACCGGAGUUAACAC
rnacentral:rRNA from 1 species